UAGGAAGGAGUUAGAACCCAAGAUAAAUGCAGAUAGGAAGAGGAAAGCAUGUUUGGAUUGUUUUUUUCAAGUGGCACUCAGAAAUAAAAGUUUGGAGAAACAUGGCUCUGAAGCUCUGACAAAUUUGCAUUUGCAAAAAUAACUCCUACAAGACUUUCAGAAGUCUAGGAAAAUUGUGGCUUUUGGAUUAUUACAUUACCAAAUUUGUGGAGUUUAAUAGGUUUCAACUGUCAAUGUGCAUUAAAAUUUCCUGGGAGCAGGGGGAUGGGCUUUUAAAUUCUGAUGUCCAGUGGCAUGGUCUUGGCUUACUGCAACCUCCGCCUCCCAGGUUCAAGUAAUUCUGCCUCAGCCUCCUGAGUAGCUGGGAUUACAGGCGCCUGCUACCUCGCCCGGCUUUUUUGUUGUUGUUAUUUUUAGUAGAGACGGUGUUUCACCAUGUUGGUCAGGCUGGUCAUGAACUCGUGACCUUGUGAUCCGCCCGCCUUGGCCUUCCAAAGUGCUGGGAUUACAGGCGUGAGCCACUGUGCCCGGCUGUUCAUCUGUUUUUCAAUACCUUUAAGUUCAGUUUCCCUUACAAAGCCCACUUUUUUCUUAGUGGGAAUCUCUUGUACCACUUAACACCUACAUUCCUUAAUUUUUAAAGUUAAAACACUUAUAUACUAUAAAAUGGACACAUCUUAAGCAUACAGCUUGAUGAAGAUUUACAAAGUAAACAUGCCAGUUGAAACACCACUCUGAUCAGGAUGUGGAACAUAACCAGCACUCCAGAAAUCUCUCUGCCAUCAUUACCACCACUGGUUAUCCUAGCCACUCUUCUGACUUGUAUCACCAUAGAUAGGUUUUACUUGUUUUGAAGCCAUCUAUAAAUGGAAUCAUGGAAGUUUGGGCUUCCCUGAGAGCAGAUCUUCAGAGAAAAAAAACUUGAGUGCAGUAGUUUAUUUGGCGUUUGGCUCCAGGAUGCAGGAGUGGGAAAGAUGGUAGAGAGACAGAAGAAAAAUCAAUAGAAAGGUAUUACGGAGGUUGGAUAUAUAAUGCUUCCCAGAAUUGUCUGACUGAACAGGAGGCUGAAAUAUUUAUCCGCUGGCUCCUGUUUCCAAUUGAUUGAGGGAUGCCCCCAAGGAAGUUAACUUCACUGCAAUUCUGAGCUGUAAUUGACUUUAAUAAGCUCCAACAGCACUGAAAGACGUUUGGAUUAUUUUCAGUUUGGGAUAAUACUACUAUGAACAUUCCUGUACAUGUCUUUUGAGAACACGCAUGUGUACAUUUGUGAUGGGUAUGUAAUGGGGUGGAAUUACUGGUUCAUAGAAUAUGUGCAUAUUCACCUUUAGAUAUAGAGGCUGCCAACCAUUUUUCUGAAGUGAUUAUACUAAUUUAUAUUCUCACUAUCUGUAAAUGAACAUUUCUGUUGCUCCACAUCCUUGCUGGCACUUGGUAUUGAUUGAUUUCUCUUUUAAUUUUAGGCUUUUUAAUACGUGUGUAGUGAUAUCUCACUUGCUGUUUGUUUGCUUUUUGGUAAAUUUUUUAUUGAAGUAUAAUUUACAUACAGAAAAUCACACAAAUUGUGUACAGGUGUGAUUUUUCACACCGUGAAUACAUGCAAAAACUAGUAUGAAAUUAAGAGUUGGAACAUCACCAGUACUCCAGAAGCCCCAUGCAUGUUCUCUUCCAGUUACUAUACCACUAUCCCAAGGAUGGUCUAUUAAUUCAACAGCAUAGAUUUAUUUUGCCUGUUUUUCAACUUCAAAUAAAUGAAAUAAUAUGCACUCUUGUGUCUGGCUUCUUUGACUCAACAGUAUGUCUAUACAACUCAUCUGUAUUGUUGCAUGUUGUAGUUCGUUCAUUCAUACUGUUGUAUACAGUAUUGAAUUGUAUAAAUUACUCAUUCUGUUACUAUGCAUUUGGGCUGUUUCCAGUUUUGGCUAUUAUGAAUAAAGCUGCUAUGAACAUUCUAGAAUUGUCUUGUUGAACAUAUGUAUUUCUGCUGGGUAUAAAGCUUAAAAAGGAAAUUACUGGAAAAUAAGAGUAUUGCCUCAUGUUACCUACCUGCUAUUUUCACUGUAAUUUCAUCUAUUCUGGUUGAUGUGUAAUAGUGUCAUAUUAGCAUUUUUUCUUUGCUUUUAUAAAAUAAAUGUUUUUAUGUUGGAAAAAAAAAAAAAAAA
rnacentral:lncRNA from 1 species